GUCAUGUCACUGCAAAUCAUUUUCAGCUUCAGUUAGUGCUUCUUUCAGCAUCUUUACCCAAUUUUAUCCUCCUCUACGAGCUGAUCUACAUUCUUCUCUUUUUCCUCUUCUGUAUUCAGGACAUUCUUUUAUUGCACACGGACAUGGCGUGCUGGAGGGAAGGUCAGUGCUGUUGUGGUCAUCCAGGGGCCGAUUUUGUGCUGCAUCAUGGGACUCGUGCAGCAGGACAUGACAAGGUCUCCAACCUCCGGAACCGGAACUGGUCCAGUAUCAGGACGCGGAGCAUACGGGUGCGCAGUUCUGGUUCGGGUCCAGUAUCAGAUCUAAUACUGGUACCGGUACCCAGACCCAGCACCACAUGCAUUUUGAGGACCAGUCUGCAUCCAGUAUGGCAUUCGGUACCGAGUCCUGAUGGUUGCAGACCCUUGAUUUACAAACAGUCAGCACGUCAAUUGCUAUUGGCUGAUGGUGAACCACAUGACUGUGUUGCAUUAAACAUAUGAGAACUGUUUCUUUUUUUUCACAGUAUUGCAUAAAAUACCUAAAUAAAUGAAAUAAAAACAUUUUAAAAUAAAA